rnacentral:rRNA from 1 species
UACGGAGGGUGCAAGCGUUGUUCGGAAUCACUGGGCGUAAAGCGCGUGUAGGCGGCCUCUUAAGUCUGGUGUGAAAGCCCGGGGCUCACCCCCGGAAGGGCACUGGAUACUGGGAGGCUAGAGUACCGGAGAGGAGGGUGGAAUCCCUGGUAUAGCGGUGAAAUGCGUAGAUAUCAGGAGGAACACCGGUGGCGAAGGCGGACCGCUGGACGGCUACUGACGCUGAGACGCGAAAGCGUGGGGAGCAAACAGG